rnacentral:guide_RNA from 1 species
AUAAAAUGUAUUUAUUAACAGAUUAAGUAGAUGUGAGAGAUAUA